rnacentral:rRNA from 1 species
AUUGAACGCUGGCGGCAGGCCUAACACAUGCAAGUCGAACGAGUGGCGGACGGGUGAGUAAUGUCUGGGAAACUGCCUGAUGGAGGGGGAUCACUACUGGACACGGUAGCUAAUACCGCAUACCAUCAGCUGUGCCCAGAUGGGAUUAUCUAGUUGGUGGGGUAACGGCACACCAAGGCGACGAUCCCUAGCGGGUCUGAGAGGAUGACGAGCCGAACUGGAACGUAGAACCGGUCCAGACUCGUACGGGAGGGAGCAGUGGGGAAUAUGGCACAAUGGGCUCAAGCCUGAUGCAGCCAUGCGGAGUGUAUGAAGAAGGCCGUCGGGUUGUAAAGUACUUUCAGCGGGGAGGCGUUACCCGCAGAAGAAGCACCGGCUAACUCCGUGCCAGACGCCGCGGUAAUAC